UUUUUUUGAUACAUACUGGGAGACAUUAAGUAGGGAUAAACUGCUUACUACUGAGUGAAGGACUCAAGUGCAGUUCUUUGGCUUUCUGCCAAAGAUACUGGAAGAAAUGAUGAAUGACAAAUAUAUUAUGGAGGAAUUCUCCUCCUAAGAGGUCCACAGGAUUCUAAUUUUUAGGAUUGCUAUCACAGCCAGGGAUACUCUGUGUUUUUGUGCUCCUGAUGGAAACACUGCUUUCGCUGAAACAACACUCCAGUUCCUGGUUGUUGUUGCUACUGUUAUCUAAUCUUCCUUAUAGUGAGUCCUUUAUUUCUGGUAAAGAUACUCAUUUAAA
rnacentral:lncRNA from 1 species